rnacentral:siRNA from 1 species
AUCCCAUACUUAGGAUGCUUACGG